rnacentral:rRNA from 1 species
UGCCAGCCGCCGCGGUAAGACGGAGGGCGCAAGCGUUGUUCGGAAUUACUGGGCGUAAAGCGCACGCAGGCGGUUUGCUAAGUCCUUUGUGAAAGCCCGGGGCUCAACCCCGGAAUUGCAUGGGAUACUGGCAGACUGGAGACAGGUAGAGGCUAGCGGAAUUCCUGGUGUAGCGGUGGAAUGCGUAGAUAUCAGGAAGAACACCUGUGGCGAAGGCGGCUAGCUGGGCCGAUAUUGACGCUGAGGCGCGAAGGCGUGGGUAGCGAACGGGAUUAGAUA